GUGCCAGCAGCCGCGGUAAGACGGAAGGUGCAAGCGUUGCUCGGAAUCACUGGGCGUAAAGGGUGCGUAGGCGGCUUGGUAAGUCGGGUGUGAAAGCCCCGGGCUCAGCCUGGGAAGGGCACUCGAAACUGGCGAGCUGGAGUGCCGGAGGGGAGAGUGGAAUUCCUGGUGUAGCGGUGAAAUGCGUAGAGAUCAGGAGGAAUACCGGUGGCGAAAGCGACUCUCUGGACGGCAACUGACGCUGAGGCACGAAAGCGUGGGGAGCAAACAGGAUUAGAUACCCUGGUAGUCCACGCUGUAAACGAUGGGCACUAGGUGUCGGGGGUAUCCACUCCCUCGGUGCCGCCGCUAACGCAUUAAGUGUCCCGCCUGGGAAGUACGGUCGCAAGAUUAAA
rnacentral:rRNA from 1 species